rnacentral:rRNA from 1 species
AUGCACGCUGGCUACAGGCUUAACACCUGCAAGUCGAGGGGAAACGACGGGGAAGCUUGCUUCCCCGGGCGUCGACCGGCGCACGGGUGAGUAACGCGUAUCCAACCUGCCUCUGACUGAGGGAUAACCCGUCGAAAGUCGGCCUAAUACCUCAUGGUAUCGUCUGCGGGCAUCCAACGACGAUUAAAGAUUUCAUCGGUCAGGGAUGGGGAUGCGUCUGAUUAGCUUGUUGGCGGGGUAACGGCCCACCAAGGCUACGAUCAGUAGGGGUUCUGAGAGGAAGGUCCCCCACAUUGGAACUGAGACACGGUCCAAACUCCUACGGGAGGCAGCAGUGAGGAAUAUUGGUCAAUGGGCGAGAGCCUGAACCAGCCAAGUAGCGUGCAGGAAGACGGCCCUAUGGGUUGUAAACUGCUUUUAGGCGGGGAUAAAGUGAGGGACGUGUCCCUCAUUGCAGGUACCGCAUGAAUAAGGACCGGCUAAUUCCGUG